GAUGAACGCUGGCGGCGUGCCUAAUACAUGCAAGUCGAACGCUUUGUGGUUCAACUGAUUUGAAGAGCUUGCUCAGACAUGACGAUGGACAUUGCAAAGAGUGGCGAACGGGUGAGUAACACGUGGGAAACCUACCUCUUAGCAGGGGAUAACAUUUGGAAACAGAUGCUAAUACCGUAUAACAAUGACAACCGCAUGGUUGUUAUUUAAAAGAUGGUUCUGCUAUCACUAAGAGAUGGUCCCGCGGUGCAUUAGCUAGUUGGUAAGGUAAUGGCUUACCAAGGCGAUGAUGCAUAGCCGAGUUGAGAGACUGAUCGGCCACAAUGGGACUGAGACACGGCCCAUACUCCUACGGGAGGCAGCAGUAGGGAAUCUUCCACAAUGGGCGAAAGCCUGAUGGAGCAACGCCGCGUGUGUGAUGAAGGGUUUCGGCUCGUAAAACACUGUUGUAAGAGAAGAAUGACAUUGAGAGUAACUGUUCAAUGUGUGACGGUAUCUUACCAGAAAGGAACGGCUAAAUACGUGCCAGCAGCCGCGGUAAUACGUAUGUUCCAAGCGUUAUCCGGAUUUAUUGGGCGUAAAGCGAGCGCAGACGGUUAUUUAAGUCUGAAGUGAAAGCCCUCAGCUCAACUGAGGAAUUGCUUUGGAAACUGGAUGACUUGAGUGCAGUAGAGGAAAGUGGAACUCCAUGUGUAGCGGUGAAAUGCGUAGAUAUAUGGAAGAACACCAGUGGCGAAGGCGGCUUUCUGGACUGUAACUGACGUUGAGGCUCGAAAGUGUGGGUAGCAAACAGGAUUAGAUACCCUGGUAGUCCACACCGUAAACGAUGAGUGCUAGGUGUUUGAGGGUUUCCGCCCUUAAGUGCCGCAGCUAACGCAUUAAGCACUCCGCCUGGGGAGUACGACCGCAAGGUUGAAACUCAAAGGAAUUGACGGGGACCCGCACAAGCGGUGGAGCAUGUGGUCUAAUUCGAAGCAACGCGAAGAACCUUACCAGGUCUUGACAUCCCUUGACAACUCCAGAGAUGGAGCGUUCCCUUCGGGGACAAGGUGACAGGUGGUGCAUGGUUGUCGUCAGCUCGUGUCGUGAGAUGUUGGGUUAAGUCCCGCAACGAGCGCAACCCUUAUUACUAGUUGCCAGCAUUCAGUUGGGCACUCUAGUGAGACUGCCGGUGACAAACCGGAGGAAGGUGGGGAUGACGUCAAAUCAUCAUGCCCCUUAUGACCUGGGCUACACACGUGCUACAAUGGCGUAUACAACGAGUUGCCAACCCGCGAGGGUGAGCUAAUCUCUUAAAGUACGUCUCAGUUCGGAUUGUAGGCUGCAACUCGCCUACAUGAAGUCGGAAUCGCUAGUAAUCGCGGAUCAGCACGCCGCGGUGAAUACGUUCCCGGGUCUUGUACACACCGCCCGUCACACCAUGAGAGUUUGUAACACCCAAAGCCGGUGGGGUAACCUUCGGGAGCCAGCCGUCUAAGGUGGGACAGAUGAUUAGGGUG
rnacentral:rRNA from 1 species